rnacentral:rRNA from 1 species
CCUACGGGAGGCAGCAGUGGGGAAUCUUAGACAAUGGGCGCAAGCCUGAUCUAGCCAUGCCGCGUGAGUGAUGAAGGCCCUAGGGUCGUAAAGCUCUUUCAACUGUGAAGAUAAUGACGGUAGCAGUAGAAGAAACCCCGGCUAACUCCGUGCCAGCAGCCGCGGUAAUACGGAGGGGGUUAGCGUUGUUCGGAAUUACUGGGCGUAAAGCGUACGUAGGCGGAUUAAUAAGUUAGAGGUGAAAUCCCAGGGCUCAACCCUGGAACUGCCUUUAAAACUGUUAGUCUUGAGAUCGAGAGAGGUGAGUGGAAUUCCAAGUGUAGAGGUGAAAUUCGUAGAUAUUUGGAGGAACACCAGUGGCGAAGGCGGCUCACUGGCUCGAUACUGACGCUGAGGUACGAAAGUGUGGGGAGCAAACAGGAUUAGAUACCCUGGUAG